UACGUAGGGUGCGAGCGUUGUCCGGAAUUACUGGGCGUAAAGAGCUCGUAGGUGGUUUGUCGCGUUGUUCGUGAAAUCUCACGGCUUAACUGUGAGCGUGCGGGCGAUACGGGCAGACUAGAGUACUGCAGGGGAGACUGGAAUUCCUGGUGUAGCGGUGGAAUGCGCAGAUAUCAGGAAGAACACCCGUGGCUAAGGCGGCUCUCUAGUACGGUACUGACGCUGAGACGCGAAGGCGUGGGGAGCGAACAGG
rnacentral:rRNA from 1 species